AGAAUCAACGCUGGCGGCGUGCCUAACACAUGCAAGUCGCACGAGAAAGGGACUUCGGUCCUGAGUAAAGUGGCGCACGGGUGAGUAACACGUGAAUCAUCUACCUCCGAGUGGGGAAUAACCUAGAGAAAUCUGGGCUAAUACCGCAUAACACUUACGAGUCAAAGCAGCAAUGCGCUUGGAGAGGAGUUCGCGGCAGAUUAGUUAGUUGGCGGGUAAUGGCCCACCAAGACGAUGAUCUGUA
rnacentral:rRNA from 1 species